CCCUCUUGUAAUGGGCAAAGAGAUACCUUGGGGGAUGGGGUUGUUCUUAUAUCAGCCAGGGGCAGAGCAAAUGACAGUCCUUUGUUUAUCCUAGCUUGAUACCUGGCUUGGUGGCCAAAGCUGUUUUAUGCCUAGGAUAAAAAA
ensembl:snoRNA LOC120097228 small nucleolar RNA SNORA48